UGAUGAAAACUUUAUUAUUAUUUUUUUUAAUUAUUCUAGUGUAAAAAUAACUGUUUGAGGAUUACAUGUGAAGUACAAGUGUGUGUGUGUGUGUGUGUGUGUGUGUGUGUGUGUGUGUGUGUGUGUGUGUGUGUGUGUGUGUGU